UACGUAGGGUGCAAGCGUUGUCCGGAAUUAUUGGGCGUAAAGAGCUCGUAGGCGGUUUGUCGCGUCUGCUGUGAAAAACUCGGGGCUUAACUCCGGGCCUGCAGUGGGUACGGGCAGACUAGAGUGCGGUAGGGGGAGACUGGAAUUCCUGGUGUAGCGGUGAAAUGCGCAGAUAUCAGGAGGAACACCGAUGGCGAAGGCAGGUCUCUGGGCCGAUACUGACGCUGAGGAGCGAAAGCGUGGGGAGCGAACAGG
rnacentral:rRNA from 1 species